UACAGCGGUGGCAAGCGUUGUUCGGAAUUACUGGGCGUAAAGGGCGCGUAGGCGGUCUUGCAAGUCCUGUGUGAAAUCCCUCGGCUCAACUGAGGAACUGCACAGGAAACUGCUUGGCUUGAGUUCGGGAGAGGGAAGCGGAAUUCCGGGUGUAGCGGUGAAAUGCGUAGAUAUCCGGAGGAACACCGGUGGCGAAGGCGGCUUCCUGGACCGACACUGACGCUGAGGCGCGAAAGCUAGGGGAGCAAACGGG
rnacentral:rRNA from 1 species